rnacentral:rRNA from 1 species
CGCGGCGAACUGAAACAUCUAAGUAGCUGCAGGAAAAGAAAUCAACCGAGAUUCCCAAAGUAGCGGCGAGCGAAAUGGGAAGAGCCUGUACGUGAUAGUCGGACCGAUAACAGAAUCCUCUGGAAAUAGGAGCCAUAGUGGGUGAUAGCCCCGUAUGUGAAAUCGGACCGGUGGUACUAAGCGUACGACAAGUAGGGCGGGACACGUGACAUCCUGUCUGAAUAUGGGGGGACCAUCCUCCAAGGCUAAAUACUC